GAGGGCACAGGUCAGUGGUAGAGCACAUGCCUAAUAAGCAUGAGGUCCUGGGUUCAAUCCCCAGCACCUCCA
rnacentral:tRNA from 1 species